rnacentral:lncRNA from 1 species
GGAAAGGUGUGAGCUUGUUUGAGGUGCCGGUGAGAAAACUCAAUCUAAAAAUUAUUAAAAAAUAAGUCUUCAUUGUAUUUUAAGCCUUAAUUACUACUUAUUAAUUCACUCUCCGGUACGUGCUUAUAGAUAAGAAACCGAUUUUCGAUUAAUACAGUUGGUAAAAGACGAAGAUUGUUACAAGACAUAGCCGUGGGAACAAAAGGGGAAAAGGGCUGACAAUAUCGAAAUAAUCUGGUUAUCUACGUCAUAACUCUCCUGCGAGGUGGAUAGGCAAAGGACCAACGGUUUGGCCACCGCGAUCACCGGAAUUGUUGAGCAUUGAUUUUUUCAUGUGGGGCUGUAUAAAAAACCUUUUGUACUAAGCCUCCAACAACACCAGAUGAUAUGGAAAAUAUAAUAAGGGAACCUCUUAAUAAUAUUUACUUACAAAUGCUAGAAAUUUGGCUCGGUCGUUUGAAUAUCGGUUACAAGCUUGCAUACUCCUUGGAAGCCGAAAUUUUGAACAUUUACUUUAGACUAAUUCUUUAAUAUAACAUCUAUAAAUUGUUACUAUACAUUGUAUUGGCAUGGUUUAUAUUUUGUAUUAGUUAUUUAUUGAAUAAAAAUAAUUUUAUUAUUUG